AGGAUGAACGCUGGCGGCGUGCCUAAUACAUGCAAGUCGAGCGGUAAGGCCCCUUCGGGGGGUACACGAGCGGCGGACGGCUGAGUAACACGUAGGAACGUACUCCAAACUGAGGGAUAAGCACCAGAAAUGGUGUCUAAUACCGCAUGUGCUCCAAGGAGUAAAGCUUCGGCGGUUUGGGAACGGCCUGCGCCCGAUUAGCUAGUUGGUGAGGUAAUAGCUCACCAAGGCGACGAUCGGUAGCUGGUCUGAGAGGAUGAUCAGCCAGACUGGGACUGAGAACGGCCCAGACUCCUACGGAGGCAGCAGUAGGGAAUUUCCACAAUGGGCGAAAGCCUGAUGGAGCAACGCCGCGUGCAGGAUGAAUGCCGUUGGGUAGUAAACUGUACUUUUACCUGUAGACGUAACUAGUAGGACGGUAGCGAGUAUAGUAAUAAGG
rnacentral:rRNA from 1 species